AGCAGCCGCGGUAAUUCCAGCUCCAAUAGCGUAUAUUAAAGUUGUUGCAGUUAAAAAGCUCGUAGUUGAAUUUUGGGUCUGGCCGGGCGGUCCGCCCUCCGGGUGAGCACUGUUCCGACGCCGGGCCUAUCCUUCUGGUGAGUCGGCAUGUCCUUUGUUGGGUGUGUCGGGGAACCAGGACCAUUACCUUGAAAAAUUAGAGUGUUCAAAGCAGGCGUAUGCUCGGAUACAUUAGCAUGGAAUAAUGAAAUAGGACGCGUGGUGCUAUUUUGUUGGUUUCUAGAACCGCCGUAAUAAUUAAUAGGGAUAGUUGGGGGCAUUAGUAUUCAAUUGUCAGAGGUGAAAUUCUUGGAUUUAUUGAAGACUAACUUCUGCGAAAGCAUUUGCCAAGGAUGUUUUCAUUAAUCAAGAACGAAAGUUAGGGGAUCGAAGACGAUCAGAUACCGUCGU
rnacentral:rRNA from 1 species